rnacentral:rRNA from 1 species
AGCGAACGUUUGCGGCGGGCCUAACACAUGCAAGUCGAACGGGCUAGCAAUAGUCAGUGGCGCACGGGUGCGUAACACGUGGGUAAUCAACCCUUCAGCUCGGGAUAACGCCUUGAAAGGGGCGCUAAUACCGGAUACGACGCGAGGAGCUUCGGCUGCUUGCGGGAAAGAUUCGCAAGGAUCUCUGAAGGACGAGCCUGCGGCCCAUCAGCUAGUUGGUGAGGUAAGAGCUCACCAAGGCGAAGACGGGUAGCUGGUCUGAGAGGAUGAUCAGCCACACUGGGACUGAGACACGGCCCAGACUCCUACGGGAGGCAGCAGUGGGGAAUAUUGGACAAUGGGCGAAAGCCUGAUCCAGCAAUGCCGCGUGAGUGAUGAAGGCCUUAGGGUUGUAAAGCUCUUUACCCGGGAAGAUAAUGACCGUACCGGGAGAAUAAGCCCCGGCUAACUACAUGCCAGCAGCCGCGGUAAU